rnacentral:rRNA from 1 species
AACGAACGCUGGCGGCAUGCCUAACACAUGCAAGUCGAACGAGACCUUCGGGUCUAGUGGCGCACGGGUGCGUAACGCGUGGGAAUCUGCCCUUGGGUUCGGAAUAACAGUUGGAAACGACUGCUAAUACCGGAUGAUGACGUAAGUCCAAAGAUUUAUCGCCCAAGGAUGAGCCCGCGUAGGAUUAGCUAGUUGGUGAGGUAAAGGCUCACCAAGGCGAGGCUCCUUAGCUGGUCUGAGAGGAUGAUCAGCCACACUGGGACUGAGACGCGGCCCAGGCUGCUACGGGAGGCAGCAGUGGGGAAUAUUGGACCAGGGGCGAAAGGCUGAGCAUGCAGGGCCGCGUGAGUGAUGAAGGCCUUGGCGGUGUAAAGGUCGUUUACCCGGGAUGAUAAUGACAGUACCGGGAGAAGAAGCUCCGGCUAACUCCGUG